AACCUGUCAAUUUAUUAAAAUAAGCAAUAGUUUUAAAUCUAGUGCUACAGGAGAAGAAUUUAAAAUGAAAUUAUAUAUAAACUGUAACACAAGUAAUGUGAUUUAUUUACCGCCUGCAGCAGCUCAAGUGUAUGAUAUGGGGGU